rnacentral:rRNA from 1 species
UUAAGCGACUAAGCGUACACGGUGGAUGCCCUGGCAGUCAGAGGCGAUGAAGGACGUGCUAAUCUGCGAUAAGCGUCGGUAAGGUGAUAUGAACCGUUAUAACCGGCGAUUUCCGAAUGGGGAAACCCAGUGUGAUUCGUCACACUAUCAUUAACUGAAUCCAUAGGUUAAUGAGGCGAACCGGGGGAACUGAAACAUCUAAGUACCCCGAGGAAAAGAAAUCAACCGAGAUUCCCCCAGUAGCGGCGAGCGAACGGGGAGGAGCCCAGAGCCUGAAUCAGUGUGUGUGUUAGUGGAAGCGUCUGGAAAGGCGCGCGAUACAGGGUGACAGCCCCGUACACAAAAAUGCACAUGCUGUGAGCUCGAUGAGUAGGGCGGGACACGUGGUAUCCUGUCUGAAUAUGGGGGGACCAUCCUCCAAGGCUAAAUACUCCUGACUGACCGAUAGUGAACCAGUACCGUGAGGGAAAGGCGAAAAGAACCCCGGCGAGGGGAGUGAAAAAGAACCUGAAACCGUGUACGUACAAGCAGUGGGAGCACAGAGCAAUCUGUGUGACUGCGUACCUUUUGUAUAAUGGGUCAGCGACUUAUAUUCUGUAGCAAGGUUAACCGAAUAGGGGAGCCGAAGGGAAACCGAGUCUUAACUGGGCGUUAAGUUGCAGGGUAUAGACCCGAAACCCGGUGAUCUAGCCAUGGGCAGGUUGAAGGUUGGGUAACACUAACUGGAGGACCGAACCGACUAAUGUUGAAAAAUUAGCGGAUGACUUGUGGCUGGGGGUGAAAGGCCAAUCAAACCGGGAGAUAGCUGGUUCUCCCCGAAAGCUAUUUAGGUAGCGCCUCGUGAAUUCAUCUCCGGGGGUAGAGCACUGUUUCGGCAAGGGGGUCAUCCCGACUUACCAACCCGAUGCAAACUGCGAAUACCGGAGAAUGUUAUCACGGGAGACACACGGCGGGUGCUAACGUCCGUCGUGAAGAGGGAAACAACCCAGACCGCCAGCUAAGGUCCCAAAGUCAUGGUUAAGUGGGAAACGAUGUGGGAAGGCCCAGACAGCCAGGAUGUUGGCUUAGAAGCAGCCAUCAUUUAAAGAAAGCGUAAUAGCUCACUGGUCGAGUCGGCCUGCGCGGAAGAUGUAACGGGGCUAAACCAUGCACCGAAGCUGCGGCAGCGACACUAUGUGUUGUUGGGUAGGGGAGCGUUCUGUAAGCCUGUGAAGGUGUGCUGUGAGGCAUGCUGGAGGUAUCAGAAGUGCGAAUGCUGACAUAAGUAACGAUAAAGCGGGUGAAAAGCCCGCUCGCCGGAAGACCAAGGGUUCCUGUCCAACGUUAAUCGGGGCAGGGUGAGUCGACCCCUAAGGCGAGGCCGAAAGGCGUAGUCGAUGGGAAACAGGUUAAUAUUCCUGUACUUGGUGUUACUGCGAAGGGGGGACGGAGAAGGCUAUGUUGGCCGGGCGACGGUUGUCCCGGUUUAAGCGUGUAGGCUGGUUUUCCAGGCAAAUCCGGAAAAUCAAGGCUGAGGCGUGAUGACGAGGCACUACGGUGCUGAAGCAACAAAUGCCCUGCUUCCAGGAAAAGCCUCUAAGCAUCAGGUAACAUCAAAUCGUACCCCAAACCGACACAGGUGGUCAGGUAGAGAAUACCAAGGCGCUUGAGAGAACUCGGGUGAAGGAACUAGGCAAAAUGGUGCCGUAACUUCGGGAGAAGGCACGCUGAUAUGUAGGUGAAGUCCCUCGCGGAUGGAGCUGAAAUCAGUCGAAGAUACCAGCUGGCUGCAACUGUUUAUUAAAAACACAGCACUGUGCAAACACGAAAGUGGACGUAUACGGUGUGACGCCUGCCCGGUGCCGGAAGGUUAAUUGAUGGGGUUAGCGCAAGCGAAGCUCUUGAUCGAAGCCCCGGUAAACGGCGGCCGUAACUAUAACGGUCCUAAGGUAGCGAAAUUCCUUGUCGGGUAAGUUCCGACCUGCACGAAUGGCGUAAUGAUGGCCAGGCUGUCUCCACCCGAGACUCAGUGAAAUUGAACUCGCUGUGAAGAUGCAGUGUACCCGCGGCAAGACGGAAAGACCCCGUGAACCUUUACUAUAGCUUGACACUGAACAUUGAGCCUUGAUGUGUAGGAUAGGUGGGAGGCUUUGAAGUGUGGACGCCAGUCUGCAUGGAGCCGACCUUGAAAUACCACCCUUUAAUGUUUGAUGUUCUAACGUUGACCCGUAAUCCGGGUUGCGGACAGUGUCUGGUGGGUAGUUUGACUGGGGCGGUCUCCUCCUAAAGAGUAACGGAGGAGCACGAAGGUUGGCUAAUCCUGGUCGGACAUCAGGAGGUUAGUGCAAUGGCAUAAGCCAGCUUGACUGCGAGCGUGACGGCGCGAGCAGGUGCGAAAGCAGGUCAUAGUGAUCCGGUGGUUCUGAAUGGAAGGGCCAUCGCUCAACGGAUAAAAGGUACUCCGGGGAUAACAGGCUGAUACCGCCCAAGAGUUCAUAUCGACGGCGGUGUUUGGCACCUCGAUGUCGGCUCAUCACAUCCUGGGGCUGAAGUAGGUCCCAAGGGUAUGGCUGUUCGCCAUUUAAAGUGGUACGCGAGCUGGGUUUAGAACGUCGUGAGACAGUUCGGUCCCUAUCUGCCGUGGGCGCUGGAGAAUUGAGGGGGGCUGCUCCUAGUACGAGAGGACCGGAGUGGACGCAUCACUGGUGUUCGGGUUGUCAUGCCAAUGGCACUGCCCGGUAGCUAAAUGCGGAAGAGAUAAGUGCUGAAAGCAUCUAAGCACGAAACUUGCCCCGAGAUGAGUUCUCCCUGACUCCUUGAGAGUCCUGAAGGAACGUUGAAGACGACGACGUUGAUAGGCCGGGUGUGUAAGCGCAGCGAUGCGUUGAGCUAACCGGUACUAAUGAACCGUGAGGCUUAACCUU